rnacentral:tRNA from 1 species
AGGAAUUUAGGUUAACAUAGACCAAGAGCCUUCAAAGCCCUAAGUAAGUAGUCAUGCUUAAUUCCUG